rnacentral:lncRNA from 1 species
GGCCCUCAGAACUGCACCUCCACCCCAUGGUUAGUCAUUCCAGACUAACUUGUUCUCUUAUUCUGAACUUGGCCUCAGCUUUCCCCCUUCACCUCUCUCUGUUGGCUGAGAGCUAUGGUCACCAUUUCAUCCUGAGAAAGGACAUUCAAUUAAGAGGAGAAUUUCAUGCCUAUAUUCAGUGUUCCAGUGAUAGCACCAGAGGGGACUAUUUUCUCACAGCCCUGAUCCAUUUUUUUUCCUGUCUCUGGCUUUCCUGGGUGGACUAGGGGAAAGGUCAGCAGUAGGCUCCCAUUGAAACACCCAAUUGGGUAUCACUUGACCAGCCGACCACUCUUGGAAAGGAAGUCAACCCUCAUCUCCAGAGAAGCCUCUCGUCAGCCUAUGUUGCAACUCCACCACCUGCCUCCAUCAAAGAGCACCUUGUUUUCCCAACUGAAUCAACAGCAGCAGCUGGACAGAGUGCAUCAGCAGGCCUUGCUUUCUGGGCGCUCUCCUGGUCCCAGGCCUAUUAUUCCCCACGUUUGGAGUUGGGGAGAUGUUUGCCUUGUGUGGAGUGAUGCUCGCGCCUCCUGGACACCAGAAGCACAAGGCAUGUUAGCUAAUUAAACACUGGGUGUGGCUAGCUAUCCCCAAAUAAACAUUCCCUGGGCAUUGUGAAUUCA